UACAGAGGGUGCGAGCGUUAAUCGGAAUUACUGGGCGUAAAGCGCGCGUAGGCGGCUUUGCAAGUCGAGUGUGAAAUCCCCAGGCUUAACCUGGGAACUGCAUUCGAGACUGCAUAGCUAGAGUAUGGGAGAGGGAAGUGGAAUUUCAGGUGUAGCGGUGAAAUGCGUAGAUAUCUGAAGGAACAUCAGUGGCGAAAGCGACUUCCUGGACCAAUACUGACGCUCAUGUGCGAAAAGCGUGGGGAGCAAACAGG
rnacentral:rRNA from 1 species